GACGAACGCUGGCGGCGUGCUUAACACAUGCAAGUCGAACGCGCCUGUCCUCUGGGUUUCUGGGGGGUGGGUGAGUGGCGCACGGGUGAGGAACACGUGAGUAACCUGCCCCCUUCUUCGGGAUAACGGUCUGAAAGGGCUGCUAAUACCGGGUAUUCACUGGUCUCCGCAUGGGGUCUGGUGGAAAGGUUUUUUUCUGGUGGGGGAUGGGCUCGCGGCCUAUCAGCUUGUUGGUGGGGUGAUGGCCCACCAAGGCUUUGACGGGUAGCCGGCCUGAGAGGGUGACCGGUCACAUUGGGACUGAGAUACGGCCCAGACUCCUACGGGAGGCAGCAGUGGGGAAUAUUGCACAAUGGGCGCAAGCCUGAUGCAGCGACGCCGCGUGAGGGAUGGAGGCCUUCGGGUUGUGAACCUCUUUCGCCCGUGGUCAAGCCGCGACGUGGGUCGUGGUGAGGGUAGUGGGUAAAGAAGCGCCGGCUAACUACGUG
rnacentral:rRNA from 1 species